rnacentral:lncRNA from 1 species
GCUGGUUUACCAUGACUUCUUCAGAGACCCUCUCAACUGGUCAAAAACUGAGGAGGCCUUUCCUGGGGGGCCGCUGGGAGCCUUGAGAGCCAUGUGCAAGAGGACAGAUCCUGUUCCUGUCACCAUUGCUCUCGAUUCACUCAGCUGGCUGCUACUUCGCCUUCCCUGCACCACACUCUGCCAGGUCCUGCAUGCUGUGAGCCAUCAGGACUCUUGUCCUGACUCAGUGGUUCUCCAUCCUUCCGGACUUCAGCCUGGAUCUCCAAGAGGGGCCCUCUGUAGAGUCCCAGCCCUACUCCGAUCCUCAUAUACCCCCGGUAUCUAAGAAUGCCAAGGCCAGAACAAGGAAAUGUAGUUUAGUAUCUGGUCACGGGAGAGAAAAUAAAAGCUGCAGAGGUUGGGGGUGGGGUCAGGGA